AACGUCCCGCCUGGGUAGUAAGGUCGCAAGGCUGAAACUCAAAGACACUGACGGGGGCCCGCACAACCGGUGGAGUAUGUGGUUUAAUUCGAUGCAACGCGUAGAACCUUACCUGGGCUUGACAUCACGCGAACCCUCCCGAAACGGAGGGGUGCCCUUCGGGGAGCGCGGUGACAGGUGAUGCCUGGAUGUCGUCAGCGCGUGCCGUGAGGUCUUGGGUGAAGUAACGCAACGAGCGCUACCCCUAUUAUUAGUUGCCAGCGCUUGAAUUCGGGCAAUCGAAGGCGGAUGCCUCGGUCAAAGGGGAGGAAGGUGGGGAUGAAGUCAAGUAAUCCUGGCCACUACGCACAGGGCUACAAACGUACUACAAUGGAGGAGAAACAGGGGUGCGAAAACGAGAGGUCACGCAAAUCCCAAAAAAUCCGUACCAGUCAGGAUUGCAGUCUGCAACUCGAGUGUAGGAAUUAGGAAUCGCGAGUAAUCCCGGAUCAGCAUGCCGGGGUGAAUACGGUCCCGGGCCUUGGACA
rnacentral:rRNA from 1 species